CACUUUCUUGUCCCCAAGAAAGUGGCUGUUCUGGAAAUUGAGCAGUGAUAAAACUUCUAUCCUCCCAAGUGGCAUCCUCUUCAGGCAAUUGAAACCACUUGAUAAGUCCUUGUUCCACCUUCUGAUCUCCCCUGGAAACCACUCUGGUCUGUAAUACCUUCUCAGGAAAAACUACAAACUGAUCUUCUUGCAAAAUAGGCAAUUCAGAAAUUGAAGUGAUCCCCUCACCAAUCCUUCUUUUCAACAUUGAAACAUGAAAAACGGGAUGAAUUGUAGAAGAAGAUGGCAAUUGUAACUUGUAAGCCACCUUGCCCAUUCUAGCAAUUACUUGAAAUGGCCCAUAAAACUUAGCAGAUAAUUUCAAAUUCUGCCUCAGUGCCACUGAGGUUUGCCUAUAAGGUUGCAAUCUCAGAUAUACCCAUCUCCAACAGAAAAUUCCCUUUCAGAUCUGCCCUUAUCAGCUUGCUGCUUCAUCCUAUUCUGAGCCUGUUGUAAAUUGGCCUGGAGAAGAGAACUAAGCUGCUGUCUGUCAUGGAUAAAGGUAUCUACAGCUCCUACCUUCACACCAUCAAAAGGAAACAUAGGCAAGAAUUGAGGGGCAUACCCAUAUAGAGCCUCAAAAGGUGACAUUCUGAUGGCACUAUGGAAUGAAGAAUUAUACCACCACUCUGCUAGGGAUAACCAGUCCACCCAUGUUGCAGGUUUCAAGUGAACCAUGCAUCUUAAAUAGGCUUCAAUACACUGAUUCACCCUUUCAGUUUGACCAUCUGAUUGAGGGUGAUAAGCUGAACUCAUAGCCAAUUUAACCCCCAAACACUUGAAUAAUUCCUGCCAGAAUAGACUUGUGAAGACUUUAUCUCUGUCUGAAGUAAUUACUUGAGGAACCCCAUGAAGUUUAAAGACAGUAUCCAGAAAAACAUGAGCUACUGAUGCUGCUGUAUAAGGAUGGGACGGAGAGAUAAAGUGUGCCACCUUUGUCAAUCUACAAACUACUACCAGAAUAGUGUCUUUACCUCUUGACUUUGGGAGACCCUCAAUAAAAUCCAUAAAAAUUUCUUGCCAAGCUUGGGAAGGAAUGGGAAGAGGCUGUAACUUCCCUGGAUAAGGGCAUGUUUCACCCUUACAUUUUGCACAUACAUCACAAGACUUUACCCAUUCCAUCACUUCUUUCAACAUACCAGGCCAAAAGAAAUACCUCUUCAAUCUCAAAUAAGUGACAUUAACCCCUGAAUGGCCUCCCACAGCAGAAUUGUGAUAAGUUUGCAAUAAGGUAUGCUUCAAAGUUGUAGAAUUCUCUACAUACAGCCUAUGGUUGUAAUAUAGGACACCAUUCUUCAACUGAUAACCUGCAACAGCAUUAUGGUCCAAAGAGAGCUUCUGAAUUAACUCUCUAACUUUAUCAUCCCCUUCAUAACUUUCCACCAAUUGCUGCAUCCAAGCAGGAACUACCACAGAUUGAAUAACACAAGAAUGAAAGUCUGCAGGCCUCCUUGACAGUGCAUCUGCCACUUUAUUUUCAA
rnacentral:misc_RNA from 1 species